rnacentral:rRNA from 1 species
GACGAACGCUGGCGGCGUGCUUAACACAUGCAAGUCGAACGGAAAGGCCCUGCUUUUGUGGGGUGCUCGAUUGGCGAACGGGUGAGUAACACGUGAGUAACCUGCCCUUGACUUUGGGAUAACUUCAGGAAACUGGGGCUAAUACCGGAUAGGAGCUCCUGCUGCAUGGUGGGGGUUGGAAAGUUUCGGCGGUUGGGGAUGGACUCGCGGCUUAUCAGCUUGUUGGUGGGGUAGUGGCUUACCAAGGCUUUGACGGGUAGCCGGCCUGAGAGGGGGACCGGCCACAUUGGGACUGAGAUACGGCCCAGACUCCUACGGGAGGCAGCAGUGGGGAAUAUUGCACAAUGGGCCGAAGCCUGAUGCAGCAACGCCGCGUGCGGGAUGACGGCCUUCGGGUUGUAAACCGCUUUCGCCUGUGACGAAGCGUGAGUGACGGUAAUGGGUAAAGAAGCACCGGCUAACUACGUG